GCUGAAAUAAAGGGGUGCUUUAACAGGCUGAGAUUAUACCCAAUGAACCUGGAACGGGUAAUGCUGUUUAGGGACAUAUUUAAAAAUAACUG
rnacentral:ncRNA from 1 species